UUGACCUCGGAUCAGGUAGGGAUACCCGCUGAACUUAAGCAUAUCAAUAAGCGGAGGAAAAGAAACCAACAGGGAUUGCCUCAGUAACGGCGAGUGAAGCGGCAACAGCUCAAAUUUGAAAUCUGCCUCUAGGCCGAGUUGUAAUUUGUAGAAGGUGCUUCGGGUGUGGCACCGGUCUAAGUUCCUUGGAACAGGACGUCAUAGAGGGUGAGAAUCCCGUACGUGACUGGCUGCCUUCGCCCAUGUGAAGCUCUUUCGACGAGUCGAGUUGUUUGGGAAUGCAGCUCAAAAUGGGUGGUAUAAUUUCAUCUAAAGCUAAAUAUUGGCCAGAGACCGAUAGCGCACAAGUAGAGUGAUCGAAAGAUGAAAAGCACUUUGGAAAGAGAGUUAAACAGUACGUGAAAUUGUUGA
rnacentral:rRNA from 1 species